rnacentral:rRNA from 1 species
AGUCGUGGGGCAGCGCAGUGUAGCAAUACAUGGGCGGCGACCGGCAAACGGGUGCGGAACACGUACACAACCUUCCUACAAGUGGGGAAUAGCCCAGAGAAAUUUGGAUUAAUACCCCGUAACAUAUAGAGAUGGCAUCAUUUUUAUAUUAUAGCUUCUGCGCUUGUUGAUGGGUGUGCGGCUGAUUAGGUAGUUGGCGGGGUAACGGCCCACCAAGCCUUCGAUCAGUAGCUGAUGUGAGAGCAUGAUCAGCCACACGGGCACUGAGACACGGGCCCGACUCCUACGGGAGGCAGCAGUAAGGAAUAUUGGACAAUGGGCGCAAGCCUGAUCCAGCCAUGCCGCGUGAAGGAUUAAGGUCCUCUGGAUUGUAAACUUCUUUUAUAGGGGACGAAAGAAGGGCAUUCUUGCUCACUUGACGGUACCCUAUGAAUAAGCACCGGCUAACUCCGUGCCAGCAGCCGCGGUAAUACGGAGGGUGCAAGCGUUAUCCGGAUUCACUGGGUUUAAAGGGUGCGUAAGCCGGCAGGUAACUCAGUGGUGAAAUCCUACAGCUUAACUCUAUAACUGCCAUUGAUACUAUCUGUCUUGAAUAUUGUGGAGGUAAGCGGAAUAUGUCAUGUAGCGGUGAAGUGCUUAGAUAUGACAUAGAACACCUAUUGCGAAGGCAGCUUACUACGCAUAUAUUGACGCUGAAGCACCAAAGCGUGGGGAUCAAACGUGAUUAUAUACCCUGGUAGUCCACGCCCUAAACGAUGGAUACUCUACAUACUCAAUACUUUGUGUGUGUCUGAGCGAAAGCACUAACUAUCCCA